rfam:Hordeum vulgare subsp. vulgare, WGS project CAJW01000000 data, contig: morex_contig_146341
UUGCUACUCCCUCCGUCCGGAAUUACUUGUGGCACAAAUGGAUGAAAAAUGGAUGUAUCUAGAACUAAAAUACACCUAGAUACAUCCAUUCAUAUGACAAGUAUUUCCAAACGAAGGAAGUAGUAG